GUGGGGAAUAUUGGACAAUGGGCGCAAGCCUGAUCCAGCCAUGCCGCGUGAGUGAUGAAGGCCCUAGGGUUGUAAAGCUCUUUCAGUGGGGACGAUAAUGACGGUACCCGGAGAAGAAGCCCCGGCUAACUUCGUGCCAGCAGCCGCGGUAAUACGAAGGGGGCUAGCGUUGCUCGGAAUUACUGGGCGUAAAGCGCACGUAGGCGGACUGGAAAGUCAGGGGUGAAAUCCCGGGGCUCAACGCCGGAACUGCCUUGGAAACUCCCAGUCUUGAGGUCGAGAGAGGUGAGUGGAAUUCCGAGUGUAGAGGUGAAAUUCGUAGAUAUUCGGAGGAACACCAGUGGCGAAGGCGGCUCACUGGCUCGAUACUGACGCUGAGGUGCGAAAGCGUGGGGAGCAAACAGGAUUAGAAACCCCGGUAGUCC
rnacentral:rRNA from 1 species